rnacentral:rRNA from 1 species
GAUGAACGCUAGCGAUAGGCCUAACACAUGCAAGUCGAGGGGCAUCACAUGAAGUAGCAAUACGGAUGGUGGCGACCGGCGCACGGGUGAGUAACACGUAUGCAACCUGCCUUCAACAAGGGGAUAACCCGUUGAAAGACGGACUAAUACCCUAUAACACAGGGGUCCCGCAUGGGAAUAUUUGUUAAAGGACAACCGGUUGAAGAUGGGCAUGCGUUCCAUUAGCUAGUUGGCGGGGUAACGGCCCACCAAGGUAACGAUGGAUAGGGGAACUGAGAGGUUUAUCCCCCACACUGGUACUGAGACACGGACCAGACUCCUACGGGAGGCAGCAGUGAGGAAUAUUGGUCAAUGGACGCAAGUCUGAACCAGCCACGUCGCGUGAAGGAA